CUUCUCGAUUUGGCCGCUCGUUGUGUCGUUGAUAACAUACUCGUCGCACAUGUAACUGAAACGUGCGUGCCUUUGUAAGCGCGGGCUGUUCGACGACGAAGAUGGCAUAGUUAAGUAAUUGAAGCGCUUAAGCUGCUGUUGGAUUCUUUCUUUCUUUCUUUCGGUAUCAAAUGUUCGAUAAAUGACUAAUUAAUGGAAAGGGAAUAUGGCUGAACACGAACCGAGUGAAACUGGAGGGAAAUGCGAGUGGGCGAGAUUAAAAAUCGUAUCAAUGAUGAGAAGAAGAGGAGGAUCGUCGAUCUGUGUUGCGGAGAAUGGCGAAAGCGAAGGGUUUAACUUACCAGAAUACUGCCAGGUUCUCACAGUCGAUACAAACACAGUGUUGAGUAUUUUCUUCGUGAUGCUGUAAUGCAUGGCCUGCCACGUAUCGUCCACAGUGAAUGGCUCCACAGUACAGACAGAGCCACGUACUUUUCUCGGUGCCACAUACUAUCGACAAUAACAAAGUACGUUCGAUAAAAGCAUUGCAUUCGUAAUUCACGUUUUAUUUAAAAAAAAAAAUUAUCAUUCUAAUGUUAAAAAUGAUAUGAAAGUAAGGAAGUAAUAUUAAAUGGGUUAAAACAAA